GGUGACAGCUUUGGGAGAUGGGGAGAGGGCUUUGUAAAGGAAGACCCCGCUGACCGUGGUGGGCAGAGGGCCACUCGGAAGGUUGGAAAGACCCCCAGUGGUUUUAGGCAAAGGAAGGACGUGUGUCCAUCUCUAGACAAAGACUAACAGCUGGAAACCCUCGGUGGGUUUCAAACUCACUGUUACCUGAUGUUUCACUGCUCCAUGGCUAAACCUCGGGGUGUGACUUCUGGAAUGUGAGGGACUCGGUGGACCUGACUCUGCUGGAGACGUGGGAGCUGGCCCCAAUGCACACAGCAUCCUGGACCCAAAGGAGCCAGGGAAUCAGCUCUCACUCUCCCCUGCCCCCGGACACCCGGAACCGUUGGUGAGCUUCUUGCCGGAUUCCCUCUGAAGGAGCCACCUUUGGCUUCUGGGUCUGAAGAGAAGGUGAACUUACGUUGCCUGCCCUGGGGUCCCAGGCCUCUAACUCUGUGAGAGCGGCCGUGCUGGGGCCCCAGUCCACAGGCGUGGCUCAGAUCCGAGCUCCAUCACUUGUGGGACGGGGUGGGGCUGAAAGCUGGGGCCUGACGUCCUCUUCAGGGCUCAGGCCCAGCUCCCUGGACACGCCUUGCUCGUGGUGGAAGGGCGGAAGGAGGGGAGCUGGCUCUGCCCAGACCUCCUCCGUGGCCUGGCUGGCUCGUGGUGACGCAGGGCCCUUGGGGGAGCCUGCAGGGUGGGCACGAGUCUCUGUCGGAGCCCGCCUCGCUGGCCUGAGCUCUGUCACUCUCUUCCUGCUGCUGCUCGGCCGGGGACUCGGUUUAAGCGAGGGCCGGGCACUGUCUGGCACUGCUCACCAGGGAAGCCCAAGGGCUGUGCUGGAAGUUUCUCUGGAGACUACAGGGGUCCCGACCGCAAGAAGCCUGGAAGGAGACCUCUGGGGUGUGUCUGAGCCUCCCCUCACCCCCUGGCACUGCCCCUUUGACCUGCUGCCACAGCAUCCGGCGAGACGGGGGAGACGGCAGCUGGGACCCACUGUGUCCUUGGAACGAGACGGGCCCCCAUCAAACUCCCUAAUCUUGGCUCAAUUAAACUGAGCACCGACUCUGGAGCAGUUAGAAAUAUGACGGGGGCUUCCCUGGUGGCCCAGUGGUCGGACUCCGCAUUCCCUCCAUAGGACCGCAGGUUCCACGCCUGGCUGGAGAACUAAGAUCCUGGAACUGAGAUCCGCAGCAUGGCCAGUUUUUUUUUUUUUUUUAAUUAAAAAAAUAUGAAAACAUUGUUCUACAAUUUUAUGCCCCAAAAUAUUGGCCACUCUAAAUAGUUUAUAUUUUUAAAUGAAUAACUUAAUGACAUCGUUCAUGCAUUUAGAACACUUCAGAAAGCUUUUUGUUUUGGAAAGUUCCACAUACUUAUUGUAAAAGGUAAAGAAAAUAGGAUAAUGAACUCCCACAUACGCAAGAUUCCACUCUAGCCGCUCCCAACUGAUGGCCAAUGUUAUUCUGUCCUUAUUCCUUCCCAUUUCUCUGCCACCUACCUACAUUUUUUAAAAGACAAACCACAGACAGCAUAUAAUUUUAUCUAUAUUUCACUGUUAUUCUAAAGACAAGAAUUCAUUAAAAAAAUAACCAAAUUCCAUUAUCAUACCUACAAAAUUAAUAGUAAUUUUAACAUUAAAUACUCAGUACUCAAAUUUUCAAUUAUCUUAAAAUGUAAGAUUACUUUAAAGUCAUUUUUACUGAGCUACAUUUUUCGUAUAAUAAAAUGUACCUAUAUUAAGGGUGCA
rnacentral:lncRNA from 1 species